rnacentral:rRNA from 1 species
GACGAACGCUGGCGGCGUGCCUAACACAUGCAAGUCGAGCGAAUGAAGUUCCUUCGGGAAUGGAUUUAGCGGCGGACGGGUGAGUAACACGUGGGCAACCUGCCUCAUAGAGGGGAAUAGCCUUCCGCAAGGGAGAUUAAUACCGCAUGAGAUUGUAGUAUCGCAUGAUACAGCAAUUAAAGGAGCAAUCCGCUAUGAGAUGGGCCCGCGGCGCAUUAGCUAGUUGGUGAGGUAAUGGCUCACCAAGGCGACGAUGCGUAGCCGACCUGAGAGGGUGAUCGGCCACAUUGGGACUGAGACACGGCCCAGACUCCUACGGGAGGCAGCAGUGGGGAAUAUUGCACAAUGGGGGAAACCCUGAUGCAGCAACGCCGCGUGAGUGAUGACGGCCUUCGGGUUGUAAAGCUCUGUCUUCAGGGACGAUAAUGACGGUACCUGAGGAGGAAGCCACGGCUAACUACGUGCCAGCCGCCGCCGUAAGAC